CUCUAGAGAUAGAGCUUCCCCUUCGGGGGCAAAGUGACAGGUGGUGCAUGGUUGUCGUCAGCUCGUGUCGUGAGAUGUUGGGUUAAGUCCCGCAACGAGCGCAACCCUUAUUGUUAGUUGCCAUCAUUCAGUUGGGCACUCUAGCAAGACUGCCGGUGACAAACCGGAGGAAGGUGGGGAUGACGUCAAAUCAUCAUGCCCCUUAUGACCUGGGCUACACACGUGCUACAAUGGGAAGUACAACGAGUUGCGAAGUCGCGAGGCUAAGCUAAUCUCUUAAAGCUUCUCUCAGUUCGGAUUGCAGGCUGCAACUCGCCUGCAUGAAGCCGGAAUCGCUAGUAAUCGCGGAUCAGCACGCCGCGGUGAAUACGUUCCCGGGCCUUGUACACACCGCCCGUCACACCACGAGAGUUUGUAACACCCGAAGUCGGUGAGGUAACCUUUUGGAGCCAGCCGCCUAAGGUGGGAUAGAUGAUUGGGGUGAAGUCGUAACAAGGUAGCCGUAUCGGAAGGUGCGGCUGGAUCACCUCCUUU
rnacentral:rRNA from 1 species